rnacentral:rRNA from 1 species
GCUUGAUAAGCCGGUUGUGAAAGCCCCGGGCUCAACCUGGGAACGGCAUCCGGAACUGUCAAGCUAGAGUGCAGGAGAGGAAGGUAGAAUUCCCGGUGUAGCGGUGAAAUGCGUAGAGAUCGGGAGGAAUACCAGUGGCGAAGGCGGCCUUCUGGACUGACACUGACACUGAGGUGCGAAAGCGUGGGUAGCAAACAGGAUUAGAUACCCUGGUAGUCCACGCCGUAAACGAUGUCGACCAGCCGUUGGGUGCCUAGCGCACUUUGUGGCGAAGUUAACGCGAUAAGUCGACCGCCUGGGGAGUACGGCCGCAAGGUUAAAACUCAAAUGAAUUGACGGGGGCCCGCACAAGCGGUGGAGCAUGUGGUUUAAUUCGAUGCAACGCGAAGAACCUUACCUACUCUUGACAUCCUGCGAAUUUGGUAGAGAUACCUUAGUGCCUUCGGGAACGCAGAGACAGGUGCUGCAUGGCUGUCGUCAGCUCGUGUUGUGAAAUGUUGGGUUAAGUCCCGUAACGAGCGCAACCCUUGUCCUUAUUUGCCAGCGCGUAAUGGCGGGAACUCUAAGGAGACUGCCGGUGACAAACCGGAGGAAGGUGGGGACGACGUCAAGUCAUCAUGGCCCUUACGAGUAGGGCUACACACGUGCUACAAUGGUCGGUACAAAGGGUUGCCAACUCGCGAGAGUGAGCCAAUCCCGAAAAGCCGAUCUCAGUCCGGAUCGGAGUCUGCAACUCGACUCCGUGAAGUCGGAAUCGCUAGUAAUCGUAGAUCAGAAUGCUACGGUGAAUACGUUCCCGGGCCUUGUACACACCGCCCGUCACACCAUGGGGAGUGGACUGCACCAGAAGUGGUUAGCCUAACGCAAGAGGGCGAUCACCA